GUAACAACCGUAAAAUUUCAAGUACGUAAACAAAUUAAUUAUUUAAUUUUAUGCGGUUAAAGCUAUCAUUUAAAUAAUUGUGAAAUUAUUAUUUAAUAAAAAUAUUGGUACGUAAAACAUUUCAGGCUAGUACGAGGUUUGUUUAUAUCGGCUAGCAAAUUAAAUCCAUUUUCGUACCAUUAGGAUCUAAAUGUUGGCCACGUAAAUAAAUUGGUAGAUGUAUAAUUUUGUUAUGGCCCGGGAAUAUUAUAAAUUUUACGGGUUUAGCUAAAAGAAAUAUUUCGUUAUAACUAUUAAAUUUUGAAAUAUUUAGAGAAAUACUAGAAUAAUUAUUUAAUUAAUUAUUUAGUAUAAUCCCGAAUGAUAUUUUUUAUUAAAAUAUUUAAAUAGGAAGUUGUUAAAUGACCCGGGGCUAAAAUAUUUCCAGUUGCGAAACAUUUAAUAUACGGGCAAAUAAAAAGAAUAUAUAAAUAAAUAAAUAAAUAAUAUUUUAACAAAACUAGCUAACCGACUAAUGGGGUGGUUUGUGGCACAUUGGUUUAUCAAAACCAGGUACUUAAAAACCAAAGAGUAGUGCCCAAGUAAUUGUUAACCAAGGUAAAUUAAAUCUUAACCAUGAUUUAUGAUUAGUAUAAAUACCAAACACGUUGUUUAGUUUUAGUUUGGCAAAUUCAGGAGGUACCAAAGCAAGUAAAACUCAAGACAGUAAAGAAGAAUCAGAAUCCAUCAUCAAGAAAUUGAAUAUUCGGAAGGAUGAAACCGAUUAUACGUGAUAAUUACAAGAAUAUUAUCAAGCUAAGGACGACAGUGAGAUUGGCACAACCCAAGAGAUUUGCCCGGAAACGGGUUUUGGCAUAGGCAAGGAAAAGGCGCAUCACACAAGCUGAGGCUGCUAGACUACAUUGUUUGGUAGUACAACUAUAGUUAUUAUCAUGGUCUGUAAUCGGACUUGCAAAUAUGUAAUCAAGAUAGACCUGAUAGUAAUGUUGUAAGACGAUCGACCCUGGACUUGUGGGGCAAGAGUUGGAUUGUGUAAUCUUAAAUAUGUAAUGGAAGUUUUGUUUUGGGCCAGAUGUAUAGUGAUGGACCAAAUCUGCGGAAUGCGGAUCUGGGGGCGUCACAGAGUUGGUAUCAGAGCUAUAGUUAUAUCCUUAGGAUUUGAGAAACCCUAGGAAUAUAACGAGCGAGAAUGAUAUGAAGUUUAAGAUAAGUGCCCUAGUUGAACAUAUCUUCUUAUGUUAUAUUGCAUACGUGUUAAGUAAACUUUUAGCAAAGGGUAGUAGACCCUAUAUAUAUAAAUAUUUAUAGUUAUGAGCAAUCGUAGAUGUGACUAUUAGUAAUGAUGUUUUUGUAUAGAUGUCAGGUUACGAGGCUGAUUUUAAUCCACCGAUGGAUAUUGAGAUGAUAGAUAGCGAGUAUGAGAAUACUUCUAUACAGAUAUUAGAGUCAUCAUCACCUGAGAUCAUUAACCUGGUAUCUAAGGAGAUCAAGGAUAGAGAAUCUUUUGAGUUUACUAAGAGCAAUGGAUGAAAAUCUUUCCAUCCUUACGUGAGUUGACUUGUGUUCCUACUUUGACCACUUCCUUUUCGACUUCCAUCGGUACUGUUUCCCCACCUGUUUAUGAGAGUUGAGACCCUUCCAUUUUGGACUUGUUUCGGCAUUUCGAGCCUACACCUCUUUCUUAUAGACCUAUUAUCACACAUACUUUUGAUAGUUAUCAUUUUGGGACCGUUGUGUCAUCUUUGAUUGGAAAUGCUUCUAUAACACCUUUGAGGGGUCACCCCCAUGUUUACACCAUAUCUGAACCUCGAGUUCGAAUUACACUUUUUUUUUUUACUACCAUGUCAAAGACUUGUGUACCAUUUACUUUCAUAUCCACCAUUUCAGUUUCUGCACCUCAGACCACUCUUUGUCAAAUUAGUGGAUCUUUCGACGCACCAGUUUCUGUACCAUCAGGUGGCGACUAUGUGCCACUUUCUUUGUUCCAUCAAUACCAGUUGUUGAGAGAGUCUACUUAUGACUCUAGAGUUUGGAUUCCAGGAUCUCACGACCCUAUGUUUGUUCUGCGGGUUCAGGAUUUUUGACCCGAGUAUUUAGCAUGGGGGAUUAUGUAUAAAAUUUCUAUUUCUAUAUUUGAGGGACUUCAUGCUAAUAUCUGUGAAAUACCCUCCAUCAGCUCAGGAUAUGUAAAUGUUAAACUUUUUACAACACUGAUAAAUAGAACCUUUUCAGAGUUCCACCGUAGGAUCUCAGGGAUAUCUGGUUGAUAUAUUUGUUGUUUUAAGUAUAAUUUGACUUUUGGGAAAGAACACAUGUAGUCCGUGUGUAUCUCAAUUAUGGUAUAUUAUGUAUCUAGAGGAUAUGUAAAUACUUUUGUAUAGUAUCGGGAUGGAGAAUUGUUCACUUCCUUUUAUUGAGAAACAGAUGCUACAGUUUCGAUCAGUAGAUCAUUUUGGUAGUAGAGAUUUAUAUAAAGUGAUCUUUUGUAUAGUGGUGUCCAGAUUAAAUUUGAUAUAGUAGGGUGAUGACCAGAUCAGAUAUACUUCUAUAUCAUGACUUGUACUCUAAAAGCUUCAGAUAUUAUGACCACUUUGGGAAGAAUGAUCAAUCUUGUUGUCAUAUUGGUGUCUCUUUCUUUGUCUAUACUUUCCCUAUGCUUCUUGCACUUGUCAACUACUUUUAACCUGUUUCACUCCUGUCAACCUAUCUUGCAUCUGCUACCUCAAUGAUCCAAUGUGAAAUUUUUAUGAUUAUAUUUACUCAACCUUUUAAAGUUUUUUUUUUCUUUUUCGAGGUUUUCAAAAAAAAAAAAAAAAAAAAAAGAGAAACGUUCAAGUUUCUAAAGUUUUAGAGUUUUCAAAAGAAAAGGUACAACCUUUAAAGUUUCUAAAAGUUUUCAAAAAUAUGCAACUUUGGUACAACUUGUAUUUUCAACCAAAAUGUGGAACCUGUUUUCAAAAAUUAUAUACUGUGAAUUUUUCAAAAUUGCACCUUGUUGUACCUUUAAAUAAAUCUUGUAAUUUUGUAUAAUGAUGAAACCUAUUUUGUUCACUUUUAUAUAUUUGAAUUCGAACCUGAAUGACAACUCUUUUUAUGAAUCAAUACUAGAUGCUUCACCUGGAUUUCAACCCAGGCCCAAUCCUGUUCAAUUACUUGUUGAUUUUCUUCAACAACAUACCCAAAAUUUUCAAAACAAUCCCGAAAGAAAUUCUUCGAGUCGAAACCUACCUUUUCAUUCAAAUCUUUCAAAUUUUUGCCACCACAAGAGUUUAAAAGGGGAUGUUGAUCCUGUUGAAGCCAAGAUAUGGCUAAGAUUUUGAAAUAGUGGGUAUAGAAGAUGAUAAGAAAAUUAAUUUUGAUGUUUAUGAAGAGUCUAAUUAUUGGUGGGAAGUUAAGCAAGUCCUAGAAGAUUCUAGCGUGAUGUCAUGGACCAGGUUUACAAAGUUAUUCCUAGAAAAGUAUUUACCUAAACACCUAGAGAAUCAAAUGGAGCUCAAAUUGCUAAAGCUCAAGCAAGAGAAUAUGUCAAUAGCUGAGUACGAAGCUAAGUUUAUCGAACUUUCGAAAUUUAUUCCGCAUCAAGUAUAUACCGACGAAAAAAAAAAAAAAACUGAAAAACUAGACGUUUUUCAGCCGGGCUUAAACCCCUGGAUUUAGAAUAGAGUUGUUGUUCUCGAGAUUUCUAGUUAUGCGACAUUAGUGCACAAAGCUUGUAUUAGUGAGUUGUUUAACCAAAAAGUAAGUUAGUCGAAGGCGGAAACCCACGCAAAAUAAUCAAAAUGAUGGAAAGAAACCUUGGACUUAUGUUGUGAAGAAACCUUUUGUAAGAGAUGUCGCGAGUGAAGGAUAUAGGUAAAGUAGAAGCAAAUCAAAGAUGUAGAAUUUCGCAAACCGCAAAUGUGUUAUAAGGAAGACUCUCGUUGCUUGAGUACGGAUCUGUGGAAUACGCUAUUUAUGAAUAAUAUUACAUUUCACACUGUUUCUGCUCAAGUUGACAUCAUAUCUCAUUUUGAAAACUGAGAAGUUUAUGAUGUAUCUUGAGUCCUUUCUUUGUUCGGAAGCGACUACUCCUAAUAAUCAAUAUUUCUUUGAUGUUACAAAAUCUUUUGUGAUUCAUGAUUUAAUAGUCGAGAAUUGGAAUAAAUAUACACCACAAUGAUGAUCUCAAUAUAAUAAUUCUAAGAGAUCGUCUCAUAUUUGAUCCUAUUUCUUAUUUUAUCCACUGAAAAUCCUUGAAUUGUGAUUAAAGGAUGCAUUGCUCGCAUUCCUUGGAAGAAGUGUGUUGAGAAAUAAUUAUGGUAGAUCAAGGUUGCCCAAAUUGUGAAAUAACGAUUCAAAAGCAAAUCUUUGAAAUAAAUAUUCCUUGAUAUUUCUUCAAUCUGAUUGGGAUGAACAACCCUAAUUAUAGGGGACACAAGGUAUACCUAUCUGUGUGAUAGGAGUUGGAUGGGACGCCAUCACUUGUGUGUGUGUUGUAAUUACAAGAAGGUUAACAACCUUUAGUAGUGUCUUAAUUUGGACACGCAACACUUAGUUCAUUUGAUCGUAUUGGGCUCCCAAUCAUCCUUUUAUUUCAAAUGAGAGCUACUUUGAAAACUCAGUGAUCAGUGAUACCAUUGUGAAAGACUUCUAUAUGUCCAAGAGAGUUUUAAAAAUUCCGAUUUCCUUUAAAUUCUUCUCGAAAUGCUCAGAUAUCAAAUUGUUUGGUUUUGUUCUUUUCAAAAACGCAAUUUUUCCUAAGUUGUUUUGAAAAGGUGUUGUAUGGAGGUGUCAAAUCCAGACCCCCGGAUUUGAGGGUUGUUACAUCGAUUAUUGGGAUUUAACAAGAUGACCCUUGCCUAGGGUUGAUGAUUGUUUUAGUUGUUGAGGAAAGCAUCUUAUUUUUUUAAGAUAGACACGAGAUCUGGAUAUCAUCAGUUACAGAAUCGGGUCUGAGAAUGUACCUAAGACGGUCUUUAGGCCCCGACAUGAACAUUGUGAGUUCUUAAGAGAUGCCUUUCGGAUUGACUAAUGCACCUAUAACAACUAUGGAUCUUAUGAAUAGAGUAUUGAAGAAAUAUUUGGAUAAGUUCGUUAUUGUUUUAUUGAUGAUAUAUAAUAUAUUCUCAGACGAAAGAAAAACAUGUUGAGCAUCUUAGAGUAACUUAGAAAAUUUUGAGGAAAGAAAAGUUACCUGCAAAAUUUUCAAAAUGAGAAUUUUGAUAAAGCAAGUAUAGUUUUUAAGGGCAUAUAGUUUUUAAGAAAGGAAUAUUGGUAUACCCGCGAAGAUUGAGGAAUUAUC